CGCUUUCCUAAGAGGCGAUAUCGCAACCAAUGAGGUUCUACCGAGGUGCGAUUAUUGCUAGUUGAGUUUUCAAGUUAAAUCUCGCUUUUUCUCUGAUCUUAAAUUCUUGGAGUUUUUGAGCUAAA